rnacentral:tRNA from 1 species
GGACAGAUGGCCGAGCGGUUUAAGGCACCGGUCUUGAAAACCGGCAAGGGGUUUACUCCUUCGCGAGUUCGAAUCUCGCUCUGUCCGCCA